GUGUGGCAGUACCUUAUUCUUGUCUCCUACCAAACUAUCUAGGCUCCUUCUUCAGUGCUCUUCAUCACUGGUCUUUGUAAGCUACUGGCUUUGCCUCAAGUUUAAAUCACAGUUUGGAUAUACUUGUCUCCUACUUCACAGCAGUAAUGGUGGGCAAGACUCUGAGUGUCUCACUGAUAGCUCAGAGGAUCCAUUGACCUGAACAGACAGGCUUCAUAGGUCUGGGGAAUACCUCAGCUAGGAUUUUUGUCCUGAGAUUUGGCAUAUCUGAUUCCUGUCAUCACUAGAACCAGGAAGCUGAGAGAAGCAUGAAAAUUGGUUUUGGAAAUAGAAUACUUUCCCAAAUCGGUUGGAUAAACAGAACUCAAACAAGUUGGAAGAAAGGUUCCUUUAUGAAAGGUGGUUAAAGGAUAGCAAAGGGAAAUGCCCCUUACUGUGAAAGAUUUCUGGAACAUCAGCAGAUCAGACAUCCGUAGCUUGAACUCCUUUUAAGUUCCAUCAUAUGUGUAAACCAGAAGAAAAAGGAAUGCUGUAGAAAGCAUAUCUGAAGUGAUUUCCAAGCUUCUGAGAACUCAACUAAUGGGAAUUAAACCAUUUUUCUGAAUCAAUAUGAGAUGUCCAUAAGUGAGACUAUAUGGUAAUCAUGGGGAGCUGCCAAAACUAAUUUGGGAUCAUAAAGGAGGAACAUGUGUGAAACUAGCUGCAAAUAUGGAAGACCAAAUGUUUAUCUGAGUUACUCUCUUUGUGGGGCUGUAUUUAGAGCUAGCAAUUUUCAGAAUAG